AGCACUUGUACGCGCCUUUGUUGAAUUGAUGGACAAAGUCUUAAAGACAGGUACAGAAAUAAAUCCUCCUUUGCAACCCAGAGCUCAUUGUUAAGUAUGAGUUUGAUACAUAUAAGAGGGAAUAUG
rnacentral:snoRNA from 1 species